UCGGUGGCGGAGAAGACGGUGUAGACGAGGACGAAGGUACCAAUGAUCUCAGCGCCGAGCGCAGUGCCGGUGUUGUACCCUGAGCUAACUACGUUAGCUCCGCCGCCGAGCCUGUUGUAGGGGUUUUUCAUGAAAGCCUUGACCAAGCCGACGCCGCAGAUGGCGCCCAAGCACUGAGCCACCAUGUACGCCACGGCCCGAAUCAGCGAGACCUUCCGGGCCAGGAACAGCCCGAACGUCACCGCAGGGUUGAUGUGGCCGCCUGAAUUCGAUUUCGACGUGUUCACAGUUAGGUUCACGAUUUGGGGAAAUUUCUAGGGAUUUGGAGGGAGAUUUGAAUUUGAACCUGAGAUGCCGGCGGUGCAGUAGACGAGGAUGAAGAUCAUGCCGCCGAAGGCCCAGGCGAUGCCGAGGAGGCCGACGCCGUCGCACUGGUCGAGAGCGUUGAGCUUCUUGUGGCCGAUGACGGUGGCGACGGUGACGUAGAGGAAGAGGAGUGUGGCGAUGAACUCGGCGAUGAGGGCUCUGUAGAAGGACCAGAGCUUGAGCUCGCCGAAGUCGAGCAGCGGCGCCGGCGGCGGGUCCACGUAGUCCUUGCCGUGGUGGUGGACCUCCGGCUCUUCGCUCACUUCCUUCGUCAUCUCUGCUUCGCUUCUUCUCUCUCU
rnacentral:lncRNA from 1 species